rnacentral:rRNA from 1 species
GGUUGUAAAGCACUUUAAGCGAGGAGGAAGGUUCGUUACUUAAUACGUAACGGAAUUGACGUUACUCGCAGAAUAAGCACCGGCUAACUCUGUGCCAGCAGCCGCGGUAAUACAGAGGGUGCAAGCGUUAAUCGGAAUUACUGGGCGUAAAGCGCGCGUAGGCGGUUGUGUAAGUUGGAGGUGAAAUCCCCGGGCUCAACCUGGGCAUUGCCUUCAAAACUGCACGGCUAGAGUAUGGGAGAGGAAGGUAGAAUUCCAGGUGUAGCGGUGAAAUGCGUAGAGAUCUGGAGGAAUACCGAUGGCGAAGGCAGCCUUCUGGCCUAAUACUGACGCUGAGGUGCGAAAGCAUGGGGAGCAAACAGGAUUAGAUACCCUGGUAGUCCAUGCCGUAAACGAUGUCAACUAGGUGUUGGGGAACUUGAUUCCUUAGUGCCGCAGCUAACGCAUUAAGUUGACCGCCUGGGGAGUACGGUCGCAAGACUAAAACUCAAAUGAAUUGACGGGGGCCCGCACAAGCGGUGGAGCAUGUGGUUUAAUUCGAUGCAACGCGAAGAACCUUACCUACUCUUGACAUCCAGAGAAUCCUGUAGAGAUACGGGAGUGCCUUCGGGAAUUCUGAGACAGGUGCUGCAUGGCUGUCGUCAGCUCGUGUCGUGAGAUGUUGGGUUAAGUCCCGCAACGAGCGCAACCCUUAUCCUUAGUUGCCAGCACGUAAUGGUGGGAACUCUAGGGAGACUGCCGGUGACAAACCGGAGGAAGGCGGGGACGACGUCAAGUCAUCAUGGCCCUUACGAGUAGGGCUACACACGUGCUACAAUGGUCGGUACAAAGGGUUGCUAGCCCGCGAGGGUACGCCAAUCUCAAAAAGCCGAUCGUAGUCCGGAUUGGAGUCUGCAACUCGACUCCAUGAAGUCGGAAUCGCUAGUAAUCGCGGAUCAGAAUGCCGCGGUGAAUACGUUNUAGGGCC